rnacentral:rRNA from 1 species
GAUGAACGCUGGCGGCGUGCCUAAUACAUGCAAGUCGAGCGAAUGGAUUGAGAGCUUGCUCUUAUGAAGUUAGCGGCGGACGGGUGAGUAACACGUGGGUAACCUGCCCAUAAGACUGGGAUAACUCCGGGAAACCGGGGCUAAUACCGGAUAACAUUUUGAACCGCAUGGUUCGAAAUUGAAAGGCGGCUUCGGCUGUCACUUAUGGAUGGACCCGCGUCGCAUUAGCUAGUUGGUGAGGUAACGGCUCACCAAGGCAACGAUGCGUAGCCGACCUGAGAGGGUGGUCGGCCACACUGGGACUGAGACACGGCCCAGACUCCUACGGGAGGCAGCAGUAGGGAAUCUGCCGCAAUGGACGAAAGUCUGACGGAGCAACGCCGCGUGAGUGAUGAAGGCUUUCGGGUCGUAAAACUCUGUUGUUAGGGAAGAACAAGUGCUAGUUGAAUAAGCUGGCACCUUGACGGUACCUAGCCAGAAAGCCACGGCUAACUACGUGCCAGCAGCCGCAGUAA